rnacentral:lncRNA from 1 species
UGUGACGCAAUAGAUAGGGAAGCCCCGAUUGGCCACCAAGGGCUUCCCCCAACUGGAGGCCUGAGUAUAUAUAGACCAUCAGCUCAGUGUUAGAAUAAAGAGAAGGAAGUUGGUAGAUGGGCUUUGCUGAAGGAGUGAGGCUGCUUGUUAAGAGGGAGACAACUUCACUGCUCAUUGUACAUUCCAAGGCUUUGGCUCAGAUUUCUCACUGCGGUUAAGGCAUAUGAUAAGUACUUCUGGCGGUAUUAAACCAGAUAUCACCUGAGUCGGGUAAAUAGAAAAAUAUAUUGUGGACGUGCUGACAAAUGCAUAUUACCUGAGUUGCUUGUACUGUACCCGGAGUCGAAUCCCUUUAUCAAAGAAAGUUAUGCAGUUUAUAAAAAUUCAAGGACUUAACAAAUCAGUGACUAGCAUUAAACUCUAAUGUCACUUUCCAUAAAGCAAAGAUAUUUAGUCAGCUACCUUCCUGGAAAUUGGGAAUU